CGAAAAAAAAUACCGAAACUACGUUAACGAGCGGAUAAAGUUUACCGAUUAGAUAUUACGUCGAUAUUAUUAAACACGAACCGACAAAACGAAAACGGGCACCGAUUUUUCGCAUUCCGCGAUUUGGGAUACGCGUGGGUGUGUAUAGGGUGUGACCGUCGACAGUUAUUAUUGGUACGGACAGUUCGCUAAUAAAACACCGUGGCGGGAAAUAUUAUUUUAUUAUUUCGCCACGAUGAUACGAAAUAUAAACGAUUACCGUGACGACCGUAAAUAACG